rnacentral:rRNA from 1 species
CCUUUGUACACACCGCCCGUCGCUACUACCGAUUGAAUGGCUUAGUGAGACCUCCGGAUCGGCUUUGAGGAGUCGGCGACGACACCUCGUCGCUGAGAAGUUGGUCAAACUUGGUCAUUUAGAGG